AAUAGAUACCCGGGUAGUCCAUGCCGUAAACGUUGGGCACUAGGUGUGGGGCUCAUUCCACGAGUUCCGUGCCGCAGCAAACGCAUUAAGUGCCCCGCCUGGGGAGUACGGCCGCAAGGCUAAAACUCAAAGGAAUUGACGGGGGCCCGCACAAGCGGCGGAGCACGCGGAUUAAUUCGAUGCAACGCGAAGAACCUUACCAAGGCUUGACAUGCACGGGAAGCCACCAGAGAUGGUGGUCUCUUUGGACACUCGUGCACAGGUGGUGCAUGAUUGUCGUCAGCUCGUGUCGUGAGAUGUUGGGUUAAGUCCCGCAACGAGCGCAACCCUCGUCCCAUGUUGCCAGCGGGUUUAUGCCGGGGUACUCAUGGGAGACUGCCGGGGUCAACUCGGAGGAAGGUGGGGAUGACGUCAAAUCAUCAUGCCCCUUAUGUCUUGGGCUUCACGCAUGCUACAAUGGCCGGUUACAAAGGGCUGCGAUACCGUAAGGUGGAGCGAAUCCCGAAAAACGCCGGUCUCAGUUCGGAUUGGGGU
rnacentral:rRNA from 1 species